GACCGCUCCGGUGGCCUAGUGGCUAGAGCGUCCGCAUCGGAUGCGGGAGGUCGUGGUUUCGAACCCUAGCCGUGUCA